GAUGAACGCUGGCGGCAUGCCUAACACAUGCAAGUCGAACGAGUCCUUCGGGGUUAUUGGCGCACUGGUGCGUAACGCGUGGGAACCUGCCCUUAGGUUCGGAAUAACUCCCCGGAAGGGGUUCUAAUACCGGAUAAUGUCUUCGUACCAAAGAUUUAUCACCUUUGGAUGGGCCCGCGUUGAAUUAGCUAGUUGGUAGUGUAAAAGACGACCAAGGCGAGAAUCCAUAGCUGGGCUGAGAGGAUGACCAGACACACGGGGACUAAGACACGGCACAGACUCUUACGCGAGGCAGCAGAGGGGAAUGUUGCACAAUGGGGGAAAGGAUGAUCGAUUACUGCUGGGUGAGUGAUGAAGGAUGUAGAGUUGUAAAGCUAUUUUAACCGGGAUGAUAAUGACAGUACCGGAAGAAUAAGCGACGGCUAACUCCGUG
rnacentral:rRNA from 1 species